CCCAAUAUCAUCAAACUCACCUUUAUCAUCUUGCUUUCUUUUCUUUUCUACUCUACCUCUAUUUAUUCAAAAUCUCAUUUUCUCAAAACCUCCAAAUCAUGUGAUUUCAACUUAAUGAGUGAAGGAAGCAUUCAACUUUUGAGUUCUGAUUAUUAUUGAGGUUUCAAGAGUUGUAGAAUUAUUGGACAUCAUUUGGUAGCUCGUUGACGUGCUCAGAGUUGCUUCCGGUUCUUUGAAAUCAAGUUAUACAGAAGUCAUUCCAGGUUCCAUUCCACC